rnacentral:rRNA from 1 species
CACGUAGGCGGCUUGUUAAGUCAGGGGUGAAAUCCUGGAGCUCAACUCCAGAACUGCCCUUGAUACUGGCGAGCUUGAGUUCGGGAGAGGUGAGUGGAACUGCGAGUGUAGAGGUGAAAUUCGUAGAUAUUCGCAAGAACACCAGUGGCGAAGGCGGCUCACUGGCCCGAUACUGACGCUGAUGUGCGAAAGCGUGGGGAGCAAACAGGAUUAGAUACCCUGGUAGUCCACGCCGUAAACGAUGGAUGCUAGCCGUUGGCGGGUUUACUCGUCAGUGGCGCAGCUAACGCUUUAAGCAUCCCGCCUGGGGAGUACGGUCGCAAGAUUAAA